CCAGCCAAGGACAAAGACCCCAGCAUCCUCUUCUGACUUAGAGUGUUACUAAAACAACAUCGACAGCAACGAAAGUAGCUGUCAUUUGUCAUUUCAUCACUGCCCACUUUAAGCCAGGACCUGUGCUUGUCACGGAUAUACUGUCAAGAGCCUUCUGAGCUCACAGGGAGGCCCUGGAUUGAGAUGGUGGAGUCUCAGGAUGAAGACUGUCUGAAUCCCCACUUAGAAGACAACUGCCUGGAGAGUCACCAGGAUGUGCAGUGAACUUUGUAUGAACACAAAAAUGGAGUUUGUUAAGAUUGAAGGGUUAGG